GGCGGGGCAAGGUGCGGGGCUAGGGCUAACAGCAGUCUUACUGAAGGUUUCCUGGAAACCACACACAUGCUGUUGCCACUAACCUCAACCUUACUCGGUC
ensembl:miRNA microRNA 744